rnacentral:lncRNA from 1 species
GUUCAUGGUUGAAAAAAUAGUUAGAUAAAUACAAAACAAUUAUCAAGAUAUGAAACAUCAAAAUAUUUUUCAAUAUAAGGUGAAUUGUAAUCUAGUAUAUUUAACAAACCUUAAUUUUAAUAAAGUGUAAUGUUGUCAUGGUCAUUGCCUAGCUCUUAGGCAAAUGAGGGGUCAAUAGUUGGGUUCCACUUAUAGGUAGU